UCCUACGGGAGGCAGCAGUGAGGAAUAUUGGUCAAUGGCCGAGAGGCUGAACCAGCCAAGUCGCGUGAGGGAAGAAUGUCCUAUGGAUUGUAAACCUCUUUUGUCAGGGAGCAAAGUCACCCACGUGUGGGUGUUGGAGAGUACCUGAAGAAAAAGCAUCGGCUAACUCCGUGCCAGCAGCCGCGGUAAUACGGAGGAUGCGAGCGUUAUCCGGAUUUAUUGGGUUUAAAGGGUGCGUAGGCGGAAUGCCAAGUCAGCGGUAAAAUCGCGGGGCUCAACCUCGCUCCGCCGUUGAAACUGGCGUU
rnacentral:rRNA from 1 species